rnacentral:lncRNA from 1 species
AGAUUUAUUAAGAUUGGAAGCUUGAAAGAGAUGCAAGCGGGCGGGCGGGGAAGCUCUGCCCCCAGGAUCCCAUGGGCUACAGUUUUUCAUCCGAGUGGGGUGGGGGUCGGAAAAGUCUGCCUCUUCCUCUCUCUUGGAGCGGUAGCUCCUCCUUGGUAUCUGGUAAGAGACAUCCCCGGUCCCAGCCACCUGUGCUGGGAGUCCUGGAAACAGCCCGCUGGAUGUCCUCGGUGACAGGCUCCCAGGAGGACGGAGACAGACACCACCCCCCACAUGUGGCUGUUCAGCUUGGAGACCCACUGGGGACAUGGGUUCAGCCUGGCACCAGAUCUACACCUUUGCCUGGAAGGUGGAGGCUCAAACUGGGCAGCAAGCAACAAUGGCCUGAGGAAAAUAACUGCCCGCAUAGAUUAAUCUACAAGGAUUCGCUGCCCUCUGUCCUGGGACUCCACCCCCGACCCCUCCUCCUUCUUCGUCAUUCCUGCCACAAAUACCCACCAGGAACUCCAGCCACCGCUUCUGGCCUCAGAUCCUUUAUAAGCCCAGCACCUCCUCAGAGUCAGGGCUGGUGCCUUCUGGAGCUCAGCCCGACCCCCUCUGGUGCCUGAAGAAGUCUCUCUGGCUUUACCAACUUGGCCUUGCGUGUUUCUCCCUCUGAAACCUAACAUUUGGGGCUGAAACCCAGGAGGGAUUGGCGGGGGGUCAGAAAGCUGGCCAGUAGCACCUGUAACCUCUGGGUUUGCAACCCAGAGAACAGAGGGCAGGGGCAGCUGGUCCUGAUCUAAUCUCGGGCUCCCAUGCAGGUCUGGGCCCCUGAUCCCGGCAUCUCCCUGCCAACCCUCUGGAGCCCAGCCAGGGAGAAACGCCAAGCCGGGAACUCCACCUUGCCAUUACCAACUCCGCAUCCAACACCGGCCUCCCAGUUCUCGGGGGAGUGGCUGACCCCUCCCUCCUCCUCCUUCCUGCUUCUCCAGAACCUGAUGAGCCACCUCUCCCAGCCCCCACUGUCAUGCUCAAGGUACGGGCUACCUCCACCCCUUCCAUAGCCAGACAUCAUGCUCCCAUUCGAAUGAAGUUAAAAGACCCGUCCACAAAGCCCUGCCACCCCCACUGUCCUUUGAACCCUGACAGCAGAAGGGGCCUCCAACCUAUUAUUAACCACCUUCUUUCUCGUAACUUACUCCAGCCCGCUCACUCCCAUUCAACAGUCCAAUCCUACCGGUAAAAAAGUCAGAUGGCUCUGACCGCCUUGUCCCAGAUCUCCGCAUCAUAAACCAGGCAGUCCUGCACCUCCCCCGGGGGUCCCUAACCCCUGCACCAUCCUACCCCUUCUUCCCCCAGAUACCUGCCACUUCUUGGUGCUCAAUCUGAAGGAUGCCUUCCUUCCUGUCCCUUCACACCCAGACUCUCAGGACCUUUCCGCCGUCACCUGGACACAUCCCGACACCCACCCAUCGAGUCCGCUUACCUGGAAGUCCUUCCCCAGGGCUUUCGGGACAGCCCCUGGCUUCAGAUCGCAUCAGCCCGAGUACCCUCCUCCAGCACGUGGAAGGUCUCUUACGAUGCAGCCCAGCGUAUGACAGCUCUUAAACAGACAGCGACGCUUUCAGACCCUGGCUGAUAGGGGAUACCGGCUGUCUCCCGCCAGAGCUCAAGCUUCGGGCCCCCAGGUCAAAUAGCUCAGAAUCUAUUACCCUGGAUGUCACGCUGUCACUGUAGACAGAAAACAGCUCAUUGCUUCUCUCCCCAACCACCACCCCUUUCAAACAGGCACUCCCAUCUUUCCUGGGGCUUGCAGGAUUCCUCCGUAUCCGGAUCCCCAACUUGAGGCUUUGGCCCGUCCCCUAUACCAAGCCACCAAAGGGCCUCUAAUAAAGGCCCUGCUGUCACUAUUACAGCUCCCUUCUUUAAAUUACAGCAGGCGCUUAUCUCCGCCCCUGCUUGCUCCCUUCCUGGCUUAUCACAAGCCUUCAAGCUCCCUUCAACAGAAAGACAAGGAAGAGCCCUUGGUCUGUUGGGAAAAGACAGGGGACCAGAUAUUCAAGUCGUUGCUAGAUGCCACAGUCAGGGAGAGCCCAGGCUGCAGCAGGCUGUCUGAGAGCCCAGGCUGCAGCUGCCCUCUUAACAUCUGAGAGCAAAAAACUCAUCUUUGGAUAGUCCACCACCGUCUAGUCCACAUAUAACCUCCCGGGCCCUCUCUCACAUAAAGCCACGCAAAAUCUUUCUCCCUUGGAGACGAACACAGGAGCUUCAUCUGGCUUGUGUCGAGUCACUCGACACACACUUGGCCAGAAGCCCCCCGCUCAACCCGGCUACACUUUUAUACAUCCCGGACAGGAAAGUCUUACAGUCUUGCGAGGAAAUUUUAUUAUUAUUAUUAUUGGUCUUUUUGUCUUUUUAGGGUCGUAUCCAUGGCAUAUGGAGGUUCCCAGGCUAGGGGUCUAAUCAGAACUGUCGACCCUGGCCUACACCACAGCCACAGCAACACCAGAUCCAAGCCGCAUCUGAGACCUACACCAUAUCUCACGGCAACGCCGGAUCCUUAACCCACUGAGCAAGGCCGGGGAUAGAGCCCGCAACCUCAUAGUUCCUUGUCAGAUUUGUUUCUGCUGCACCACAACGGGAACUCCAAGGACAUUUUAGAUUUCAAAUCACCGUACCUCACUAACCUCUCAAACCAUCCCUUGCCUAAAGCUUCUGAUACCUGGUUUACUGAUGGCAGCGCCUUCUCUCAGGAUGGAAAGAGGGUGGCAGGAUAUGCAGUAGUUUCUCUUAAGGAGGGCAUUGAAUCUAACCCCCUUCCAAGAGAAGCCACCGCCCCAAAGGCAGAAUUCAUUGCCCUUCCUCGAGCCCUGGUCUUAGCUGCAGGACAAGAGGCAAACAUUUACACUGACUCCAAGUAUGGCUAUCAUAUCCUUCGCUCUCACGCCGAAAUCUGGGAAGAGAGGGGCUCCUCUCCACGAAGGGCUCCCGCGUACUUAAUGCCCCCUUAAUCUUUAGGCUUCUCCAGGCAGCCCGACUGCCCAAGGCAGCUGCUGUCCUUCACUGUAAGGGGCAUCAAAUGGGAAGGGAUUUCUCAUU